GUCGGUGGCCUGUAGAUGAUGGGACGACGGUCGUUUGAUCAUGGGAGCACGACAAGAACAGUACUAAUCCUUCUCUGUCUCUGUAUCAAUGUGAGGCGCUCCUCCAUUCGAUCCCAAGAAAAUAACGGUAUUGUCACUGACCAUAAUUGUCUUUGCUGAUUCUCACAAUCUUAGGACAGAGAAUUAUGAUCCUUAUAAUUCGGUUUUUAUGCACAAGAGGUGAUUGUGGUAUUGCUAAAUCAGGUUUUUGUUUGGCAAGUCCUUGGUGAUGCAAUCAGCCGCCAUCACUGAUCCUUAUCCACGGCUGAUGGCACUGCUCCAAAUUAGCAUACUUUAGUUUUGUCUCUGUGCCCAUGUUCAGCGUAAAAAAUAACCAGUAGAAAGAAACGAAUAGUUUUAUCGUAGCCAUUUUUUUUUUGAGUUAGAUCAUUCAUUCAUUCCUUUUAUUUGAAGAUUAUGUUUGAAGAUCAUGCUAGGAUUAUGCUUCAGAAGCGUAGGAACGACGCCUCCAACAGCACCUGCCGCCAGAGCACCUGCAGCUCUGCGCGCACCUGCAACAUGGUCCUCGGUGCAAUGUAUAUAUUUUUUUUCAUCUAUACUAUUGGUGUCAAUCUGAAAAGUGAUCUGUGCAUAUGAUAUUUACGUAUCUGAAGUUUCUGGGCUCCAAGAGAGUACUAUCUACAUACAAGCAAUUAUAUUCUGCUUAAAUUUACAGUCUCUAAACAAGUUUAAUUUUAUAAGCAUACCUCCCAGUGUUAGGCCAAUCCAGUGCAUGAAAAUGGAUUCCAAACAUAUCAAAU
rnacentral:lncRNA from 1 species